GGGGCGGGAGCGCCGCCGGGUCCCCGCUGGGAGGCGCGGGCGGCGCUCUGGUCCGGAGCGAGGCGGCCAGGCGGACGCAGCAUGGACUCGGUCCCCGAGGACUUCGAGCUUAACGGCGAGCUGCACCCGGGCUCGCUCGACUCCCCGGACGUCCGGCGACCCCGCAGGGGCCCGAACCGGCCCAUCAACGUGAACCAUUAUGCCAACAAGAAGAGUGCAGCCGAGAGCAUGCUGGACAUCGCGCUGCUGAUGGCGAACGCCUCCCAGCUGAAGGCCGUGGUGGAGCAGGGCCCGAGCUUUGCCUUCUUCUUCCCCCUGGUGGUCCUCAUCUCCAUCUCCCUCCUGCUGCAGAUCUGUGUGGGCGUGCUGCUCAUCUUCCUCGUCAAGUACGACCUCAACAACCCUGCCAAGCACGCCAAGCUGGACUUCCUCAACAACCUGGCCACCGGCCUGGUCUUCGUCAUUGUCGUGAUCAACAUCUUCAUCACCGCCUUUGGCGUCCAGAAGCCCGUGGUGGACGUGGCCUCCCAGCAGUAGGGGCUCAGAGCCCUCUGGACCCUCGCUCAUGGCGUGACAACCUGGCCAUUUAUUAACUGCCUGCUGUGUACCCCAAGUAAUCCUGACUCUCCCCGAGCAUCAGCCCAGUGAGGAGGCUACGAGCCCCACGGCACCGGCCCCUGCUCUCCGAGGACCCUGCCAGAGCGUGUGGGGCCAGUCUCUAAAUCUUGACCAUGACCCAGGAGGAGAAACUGAGGUUUGCCCAGAUCCCCCCACAUCGUGCCCAGGAGCCUCCUCACCCUUGGGACCCGCUGCCCUGUGGGCAGCUCUCCCCGAAACCACCAGAGCCCAGGCUGACUCCACUGGACCUAGUCCGGGACAAGCCUCACGUGGUUGGGUCACUCUGGCCGGCGUGGGGCCUGUUCUGUCCUCGGCUGCUUCUCCUCCUGGAGCAUGGGGCGGAGAGCCCCUGGAAGGUUCAUGGCCACCACGGACACAUGCAGGCCCGAGGAUGGGCAGCAAGGGGCCGGGGCCACCUCGGUCUCAGGAUGUUUCCAGAGGGACAAGGAGAUGCCGCUCACUCUACCAGCCUCCUGUGUGGCCACUGUGGGUCACCCGCAACCUCCGUGCUUCCUGACCCAGGACACUGGACCGCCAGGCCCCCUUGGUCCCCGCAGUGGCCACAGGCCCUGCACAUACUCUCCACCAGCAGUGACUGGGCAGGACCCCAGCUCCUCCUCAGGGGUCCAGGCCCCCACUUUUCUAAGCAUGAACGACCAGUAAAGCUGAUGCUCCUCCUCGGC